CUGUACCACAUGCAAGAUGCCAAAAAGAAUUUUGAAGCUAUGCGACCUGCCCCAGUUUGCACUGACACCAACAUAUUUAUGGGCCAAUGCCAGAAUAUUCACGUCUCAACGAAUUGCUAUUAUGGUUUUCAUGAUCCUAAGAAUAUUAAAAACAUUCGUGACAAUGCAGAUUGCGAAAUGGUAGAUGUGUCACAUGUUCCUGAGAUUAAAGCAAUACCGUCGCCGCAAAACAACGCUCGAAAGAGAAGUGCAGAAGACAGCACGUAUCCACAACAUAAACGCCUUCGAGAAGAGGGUAUGGUGCCAACGCCUUCAAACUACAACCCAUGUUUACUGCGUCCCACCCACAACAAUCCAGAUAUAUCUCAUUGUCUCAUGGUCCACAUGAUAUAGUUUAGUUAAAAUUCUGAAUAUCUAAGUUGUUAAUUUAAUUCAGAAAUGUUAAUUUUAUCUGCAGAAGUACAAAUAAAGAAAAGAUUAGAUCCUGAGACAAUUGAGAACAAGAAACUAGAAACUAGUUCAGAAGAUUUGUUGGAGAGUCUUUAUUGGAAUAUCCAUGGAGGGAACUUUUUUCAGUUGUUACAGUGUCUGUGAAGAACAUUCUGUGUAAAAAUAGUUAGUUUAACAUUGGGACUCUAAAGAUAAAAGACUUCUGUACUAAAAAUUUUGUAAAAGAAGUUAUAUUUUGAGCAUAUAUUUAAAUAAUUUUCCUAAUAAAGUUGAAAUAGGAUAA